rnacentral:rRNA from 1 species
UACGUAGGGGACAAGCGUUGUCCGGAAUUACUGGGUGUAAAGCGCGUGUAGGCGGUAGGCCAAGUCUGCUGUGAAAUCGCCCGGCUCAACUGGGCGCGGUCGGUGGAAACUGGUCAACUGGAGGACGGUAGAGGCGAGUGGAAUUCCCGGUGUAGUGGUGAAAUGCGUAGAUAUCGAGAGGAACACCAGUGGCGAAGGCGAGUCUCUGGACGACACCUGACACUGAGGCACGAAAGCUAGGGGAGCAAACAGG